rnacentral:rRNA from 1 species
UACGUAGGGUGCGAGCGUUGUCCGGAUUUAUUGGGCGUAAAGAGCUCGUAGGCGGCUUGUCGCGUCGGAUGUGAAAGCCCGGGGCUUAACUCCGGGUCUGCAUUCGAUACGGGCAGGCUAGAGUGUGGUAGGGGAGAUCGGAAUUCCUGGUGUAGCGGUGAAAUGCGCAGAUAUCAGGAGGAACACCGGUGGCGAAGGCGGGUCUCUGGGCCAUUACUGACGCUGAGGAGCGAAAGCGUGGGGAGCGAACAGG